rnacentral:rRNA from 1 species
CCUACGGGGGGCGGCAGUGAGGAAUAUUGGUCAAUGGCCGUAAGGCUGAACCAGCCAAGUAGCGUGAGGGAAGACUGCCCUAUGGGUUGUAAACCUCUGUCAGUGGGGACGAUAAUGACGGUACCCACGGAGGAAGCCACGGCUAACUACGUGCCAGCAGCCGCGGUAAUACGUAGGUGGCAAGCGUUGUCCGGAAUUACUGGGUGUAAAGGGAGCGUAGGCGGGAUGUCAAGUCAGAAGUGAAAAUUAUGGGCUCAACUCAUAACCUGCUUUUGAAACUGAUAUUCUUGAGUGAAGUAGAGGCAAGCGGAAUUCCUAGUGUAGCGGUGAAAUGCGUAGAUAUUAGGAGGAACACCAGUGGCGAAGGCGGCUUGCUGGGCUUUUACUGACGCUGAGGCUCGAAAGCGUGGGGAGCAAACAGGAUUAGAUACCCUGGUAGUC